UAGGAAAUGCUAAGGAAAAGAAAGACAACUCACAGCCCAACAGGUUUUACUGAACAACUUGGGAAAGGCAACCAAUCAUCAGCCUGGCUGGAGAAGAAAUGGUGCAUGAUUUCCUUACAGCUAAGGUCUCAUUUUAUUAGAUGCCCCGACUUCCCCCAUGUGUGCCUGUGGGGGCGCAGACACCAGACUACAGCCACCGGACAAGAAGGUGAGGAUUCUAGCACAGCACCCGCCUGGCUCCUGGUGAGCCCCCUCCACCGUCCCCACCGUCCCCACCGUCAGCAGCUCGUGGGCAUUCUCGCUGUGGCAGGGCUGAGGGACUGCCGUGAGGAGGUUUGCCCCACCAAAGCCAACCCAACGCCAGAGCCAGCCCCAGAGCAGCCCAAGUCCAAGGCGUGACCUGUGGCCUGUGCAGGUGAGAGGGUGGACGAGGAAGACCAAGGCAUGGUAAAUACUGCCGGAAAUUCAAUCAUCUCCAGCUAAGAGCAAAUACAGAUGUCCAUCCUCCACCUCCCGUUAGAGUAUAGGACCAACAGCAUUUUAGGGGGAAAUGAGACAAGUUAAAUUGAGGAAACAGGCUUGGUGAGGCAACUCAGAAACAUGCUAUCUCGAAGCACAGGUGCGCUCUGCUUCAGAGAAUGACAACAGGACAUGUCCCUUCCUGAGAGAAAUGCUCCCCAAAGUAACCAAAGGGUGGGCCCGAAAUGCCAACAACCAGAAGGGUAACCAAAAGCCAGAAAUGUAGGAAGUGUGUUAACACCAAGAGUGACUGAAAGCAGAGAUGAACUCCUAUCUUCAUGUCAGACCCGGCCAUUACCAAAUAAACACCCUGACGCCAAAGAGCCGUGCGCCUCCCCUCUCCAGCACCCACAUGCUGAUAGAGUGUGUUGCGGUUUUGCCUUUGUCUGCUGCUUGCUAGCUUACUUACUCAAUAAAAUCCCACUGUGA